UGGAAGCGCAGUAAUGUGUGCAGCUGACCUGUACUAAUCGCCCGAGGGCUUGACCUACA
rnacentral:rRNA from 1 species